ensembl:lncRNA
AUUUUCUAAAAUGAGUCAAAACUGGCAUCUGAAAUAGAUUUUUUUUUUUCUGAGUACAGCAGAUUCAUAUGCUGGUUUAGGCUCCAAAAUUUGUCUAGAUCAGCAGCUGUACUUCAAAGCAGCACAUCUCAGUACAGCAUUAGACUUUGAAGUGCUUGUGGUCCAGAUGCCAGCGCUUUUAAAGGAGCCGAUGAAUCAACUGCACUUUGUUUUUUGUCUGCUGAAACAGCUAUGCUUUUUCUCAUAUACUAUAGUAAUGUGUGUGGUCUUCUGUAUGGUAUCUAUCAAUAAAAACAUAAUGCUAACACAAAAGCUCUUUAUUGCUACAUUUUCUAAAAAGGAACAGAUCAUCACCAUUUUAUUACACUGAUUUGCAGUGAUCUCAGCCAAUUUCCAGUGCAAACUAUUCAGACAAGACUCAAGGAAGGAUAUUUUGUUGAUUAUAGAACUAACCAUGUUUCUUUUUUUUUUUAAAUUGUAUUAUCAUUAUCGUGAGAUGCAAUUGUCCUAAAAAGAACAAGGAUGAAAAUGGUUUUGUUCUAGAAGAUGAGGAAAAAGCAGUGUUGGGCAUGCUGAGUUCCCAUGCAAGUUACAAGCAAGUCUGUCAUUAGCCUGAAAGGUCAGUUUUUGCAUGGAAAGAGGUUUAUGAGGUGCUGAAUUCCUCCAUAAGCAGGUUCUGCCAGGCUGGGCGUAAUCCAAGACACAAUUGACCUGAUUGGACAACACUUAUGAGUUUCAGGGAAGCAGGCUGGGAUAACUACAAGGCAACUCUCAAUUGUCUUUGAAAGUUGUUCAUGAUUUGGGGAGAUUCCUGGGGACUGGAAGAGAGCAGACAUCACUCCUAUCUUCAAGAAUGUGAUGGGUCCAGUGCUGCACUGUCCAGUACAAGAAGAAUGUGGAUUUAUUGGAGCAAUUUCAUCGAUGAGCCACAAAGAUGUUCUAGGGACUGAAGCAGCAUUCAUGAGAGGACCUCUGGGAGAGGUGGGACUGUUCAGCUUGUAGAAGAAAAUGUUCAGGAGGGUCUUAUCAAUGCGUAAAAAAUGCGUGAAGGGAGGAUGCAAAUAAGAUGGAGCCAGGUUUUCUCAGUGGUACCCAGACAGGACAAGAGGCAACAGGGACAAAAUGAAACACAGGAGGUCCCCUCCUGAACAUCAGGAGACACUUCUUUACCUUGUGGCUGACUGAGCACUGGCACAGGCUGGCCAGAGUUUCCAUCCUUGGAGAUACACAAAACCCAUCUGGAUACAGCUCUGAGCAACCUGCUGUAGGUGACCCGGCUCUGAAUAGUGGGGACGAACUGGACAGUCUCCAGAGGGGCUAUCUCACCUCAGCCAUUUUGUGGUAACUGUGAUCUCUACUUAGUUUACCAGAACAAAGUGACUGGAGCAUUCUGAAGUUUCUUAGACUAUAAGCCUACUUAAUUUAACUAAUUAAUUUUUCUUUUGUUAAAAUUUUCAUGAAGAAGCUAUUAGAUUAGUCUGAUUUUAUUUCUGGCUCUUACUCAGAACUUUGUGAUCCCAUUAGCAGUCAGUUUUUAUGAGGAUGAAAUGUUUUCAAGUGCAGGAUUGAAUAUUUCCAGUGGAAUAUUUUAUGGCAGCUUUUGGUUAGGCAGUCAGAUUCUGUCAGUGGAUAUGCUGAAAGCAAUGAUAAGGAGGAAACCUAGACCCUUGAGUGACUUCACAUACCCUUAAAAUAUGUACCAAUAACAUGAAUAAAGACUUUCAUUAAAUUAAUAUAAAGACUUGUUUAUAGGUAUGUUUUAAGACUGUUUGACACAAAUCAUACUUUUUCAAGAAAAAGAAAAAGAAAAAAAACACAUCAGCAUGCAGAUUUCUCAUUUGCAUAGCAUUAAAAUUUCCAGAGUUGAUAAACUGUAUGCUAUCUGAAUGAUUUUAAGACUGUGAAUGACUUCUCAUUUGGACUUUAUAUUCCUUCCCAAAUUAAUUCUGAGCCUAGUAUUAAAUCCUAUCCCAUAUUAAAUUAAAAAUAAAAUACAGUUUGCCCAACAUAGGAACAUUAAAGGGCCAUUCCAAUGUACUUCUUGGUGUCAGUUGUCACGCGCUCUUGCAGGAAGAGUAGGAAUACAGUUCCAGAUGGCUAUUCACUACUGCUCAAAAGAACAGAGGUCAAGUGCUAAGAGUUCAUAUAGCAGACAGUAUUUUCUAGCAUGUUCAAAGUGGAAAUUGUAUUUUAAAGUAAUUUCAGGACAUCAUUUUUAACACUGCAGUAUAGCAAUAUAUAAAAGCAUAAGCUGUAAGUAUUCUGGACUCAUUUCUCAGCCACUAAAAUGUUAUUUGCUUCCAUUACCUUAAAUUGAAAUAAGCCAGUGGCACUGUCCAUAAAGUAUCUCUCUGUUGUGAGAACAAGUCAUGAAGUGGCAUAGGUACUGAAGAAAAUAAAGGAUGAAUACACUGAGGAGAAGAAACAACAUAUAAGGUUGAAGAAACAAAGUAUGAGGGUGACGCAGACCUUUAAACAAUAUUUUCGUGGUCUAAGCAAUAAUAUACUUCUGUGCAAAAGAUUCCAAGUGAUGCCUGAUUCUAGCUAUUUCUCCUUUCAACAUUUUCUUCUCACAUCUAUAUCACCAGCCCUGAACUCUACUCUUUUUUGAAAAACUCUGCAAUUUUUAGCAACUAAAACAAGUUUUAUGUCAGACUUCUCCAACACCUCAUGGCAACAGUGUGCAUAGGCAAAAAGUCUUUCACUUACAGUCAGUGAUGUUUGAUUUAAUGUGUUAU